CCUUGAGCAGCAGUUCAGACAUGACUGCACACAAUCUGCAGCAGAGUGUCAUGUAAUCGCUCCUCUCGUGAUGCUGGGAGUCAGAGCAAACAAACAAAGAGAUCAUAACACGGAAUCAGACACCUGCAGAGUUUUCCUCCUAAAUGUACAAGAGCAGAACAAUGAGGUCAAGCGCUGAACUGGGCUCUUUAUUCACCCGGAGGCACCUUGUGUUUCUUUAUGGGUUCAGUGGUUUGGAGAAGAAAACACCCAGCGAGUGUUUGGCAUUUACAGACUGCAUUCAGUGCGAUUGGUCUGGGCACAUACGGCAGGACAGCUAAAGUGAAGAAACACGUACUCCUAGUGUCCACAAACUCACAAAUGGCUGCUGGGAACAUCGGUAAAGACCCAGCUGGGCUCCAUCUUAUCUUGCAUUCUUUCCAUUCAUCUUAAUUUAUAAUAUUACAUGUGUAUUUGGAAUCUGUGCCUAUUACAAAUAAUUGCUAAGGA